rnacentral:lncRNA from 1 species
CAUAUGUAAGCUCCCUUCGAAGGGACUCACAGCCUCUGUAAGCCAAGCUUCUGGUCGGACUCUCCUAAGGUAUGUACGCAUCAUUUGUUUCUGCUGGCUUCUGCCGCCCAUUCUAUUUGACUCUUAAUGCUAGAGUCUGCCUCUCUGUACCUUCUUCCCUCUGCUUGCCUGACCCAUCCGUUCCUCCUCACCUACUUGGUAAGUGUCCUCGCUGGUUCCAGGAGCCUGCAGUGCCCUCAUGGGACACCCAUUCUUUGGGCACCUUUGCAUCUUUCUGGUUCCUGAAACCUACUAUGCCUUCCAUUUUGGGAACUUGCUCCUCUGCCUAUAUUGGAACCCUCUGCUUUCCCAAAGCCUCUCUCCAUCCACCUCUUCAGCUGUUCUCCUCUACCUGCUCCCAGCAGGCACCUCUCCUCCAUUAGGUGAGUGUC